CCUACGGGAGGCAGCAGUGGGGAAUAUUGCACAAUGGGAGAAAGCCUGAUGCAGCGACGCCGCGUGAGGGAUGACGGCCUUCGGGUUGUAAACCUCUUUCGACAGGGACGAAGCGUGAGUGACGGUACCUGUAUAAGAAGCACCGGCCAACUACGUGCCAGCAGCCGCGGUAAU
rnacentral:rRNA from 1 species